rnacentral:rRNA from 1 species
AGUGAACGCUGGCGGUAGGCCUAACACAUGCAAGUCGAACGGCAGCACAGUGAGAGCUUGUUCUUACGGGUGCCGAGUGGCGGACGGGUGAGGAAUACCUCGGAAUCUACUUUUUCGUGGGGGAUAACGCAGGGAAACUUACGCUAAUACCGCAUACGACCUACGGGUGAAAGCAGGGGAUCUUCGGCCCUCGCGCGAUUGAAUGAGCCGAUGUCGGAUUAGCUAGUUGGCGGGGUAAAGGCCCACCAAGGCGACGAUCCGUAGCUGGUCUGAGAGGAUGAUCAGCCACACUGGAACUGAGACACGGUCCAGACUCCUACGGGAGGCAGCAGUGGGGAAUAUUGGACAAUGGGCGCAAGCCUGAUCCAGCCAUACCGCGUGUGUGAAGAAGGCCUUCGGGUUGUAAAGCCCUUUUGUUGGGAAAGAAAAGCAGCAAGUUAAUACCCCGCUGUUCUGACGGUACCCAAAGAAUAAGCACCGGCUAACUUCGUG